rnacentral:lncRNA from 1 species
UUUGCCACCAGCGUAAGCUGAAACCAUCCCGUUUUCCAAUUAAUUUCAUGAAAUAUGUACAAGAAGUACUAGCAUUUGUAUGUACAGUACAUCCACCAUCAACAAUUUCCAAAGGUUUGCACAUGUUUGUUCCCCCUUCCAACCAGAAACAUACUGUGACGAGACAUGAUUGCUGCUACCCAAGUGCGCCCGGCCCAAGCUCAAGCCCAUCGAGGCCCCACAAAACCCACAUGUCGCUCCAUCCGUCCCCGCGAGGGCCGGUGCGGCGUCGUGAUCAGCUCGGGCCCCAGCAGCUGAGGUACAUGGCCUUGCGGAGCGACUCAUCGGCGCCGGCCUGCCUCCGGCCGUCGUCGGCGACGGCCCGCGCCGCCCCGAGCGCGGCGGCCUGGGGAGCGAGCCCGGCAAGCCGGUCCCGCGACCCCGCCCCCGCCGCCCUCUCCCUCUGCGCCCGCACGGCGGCCACCGUCGCUGCCACCCACACACGGCUCAUCUUAAAAUUCUACCCGAUCGGUUCGUUUCCAAAGUCCUCCUACUCUGUUCUCAGCUCGCUUCGCUCUCUUCUCUGUGCUGUGCACUGCUAGCUCUGGAGGUGUGAGAAUGGGGAAGAAGGGCCGGUAUUUGUAGUCCGAGCGAGGGCGGUUUUGGUCAUUGCGUCUGAUGGUUUCGUGGCUGCUGGUUUCGGUCUUAUCAGUGUGCGGUGGUGCGAUAUUGUCGCGGGAGAAAUGGGGCGGCAUGGCCGUGAGGGACCCAGCUCCGUGGGUCAGCUACAGGUGUCGAGGCUUAUCGCCGGGGGCAGUGGUGACUCAUCGUUUCCCAUGGCUGGCCGUGGGCUCCGCCUGCUUUGUCGCCUUUGUAUUCUCUUGUACUAUCCACUCUUGUCCACUUCCCCCGCACUUUGUUUGUUUACUGGAGUAGUCGUACAACGGAAUCGUGGUUGAGAG